CCUAACAGCUAGCCCGUUAAUAUACCCAACACUUAAUUAUUUAUACCCCCUCAUGCACUAUAAAACAAUAAUCAAAUCAUUUUCCCCCCUGAGUAUGGGCGACAGAAAAGGAACCAAGGAGCAACAGAAAAAGUACCGCAAGGGAACGUUGAAAGAGAAAUGAAACAACCCAGUAAAGCCAAGAAAAGCAGAGAUUCCACCUCGUACCUUUUGCAUCAUGAUUUAGCUAGUAUAACCAAGCAAAAAGCAUUUUAGUUUGGCCCCCCGAAACCAAGUGAGCUACUCCAAGACAGCCUAUUAUUAGGGCGAACCCGUCUCUGUGGCAAAAGAGUGGGAAGAACUUUGAGUAGAGGUGACAGACCUAUCGAACUUGGUAAUAGCUGGUUGCUUGAGAAACGAAUAGGAGUUCUGCCUCUUAUAUUCUCUCCCCGCCCUGGCCCCCCAAGGUCCUCCCGCAGGCCAAAAGAAGAUAAGAAGGUUAUUCAAAGGGGGUACAGCCCCUUUGAAACAAGAUACAACUUUCCCAGAAGGGUAAAGAUCAUAAUUUUUUAAGGUAUUAUGUUUUGGUGGGCCUAAAAGCAGCCAUCCCAUUAGAAAGCGUUAAAGCUCUGACAUACUCCUACACUCGAUCCCGAUAACAAAUCUUAACCCCCUAAAAAUAUCAAGCCGUCCCAUAAAACCAUGGGAGUGAUUAUGCUAAAAUGAGUAAUCAGAGAACAACCACUUCUCUCCCUGUACAUGUGUAAAUCGGAACGGACUAUCCACCGAAAUUUAACGGUCCCAAAUUACAGAGGGCAAUGAAUGAUCUACAGCAAACAAGAAAAUCAUUCAAAAUACCACCGUUAACCCCACACUGGUGUACUUCAAAGGAAAGACCAAAAGGAAAAGAAGGAACUCGGCAAAUAUCUAAGCCUCGCCUGUUUACCAAAAACAUCGCCUCUUGUCAACUACACAUAAGAGGUCCCGCCUGCCCUGUGACCCCUGGUUUAACGGCCGCGGUAUUUUGACCGCGCGAAGGUAGCGCAAUCACUUGUCCUUUAAAUGGGGACCUGUAUGAAUGGCAUAACGAGGGCUUAACUGUCUCCUUUCCCCGGUCAAUGAAAUUGAUCUUCCCGUGCAGAAGCGGGAAUCCUAACAUAAGACGAGAAGACCCUAUGGAGCUUUAGACCUUAGAGCAGAUCAUGUUUUGUUACCCCAUUAAGCAAGUAAUAACUAUUGAACCCCUGUUCUACUGUCUUUGGUUGGGGCGACCACGGGGAAGAAAAAAACCCCCACGUGGACUGGGAGCACACUACUCCUUCAACUACGAGCCACAGCUCUAAUGCGCAGAAUCUCUGACCAUAAGAUCCGGCAAAGCCGAUCAACGGACCGAGUUACCCUAGGGAUAACAGCGCAAUCCCCUUUAAGAGUCCAUAUCGACAAGGGGGUUUACGACCUCGAUGUUGGAUCAAGACAUCCUAAUGGUGCAGCCGCUAUUAAGGGUUCGUUUGU
rnacentral:rRNA from 1 species